rnacentral:misc_RNA from 1 species
UUUUUUAACCCGUAACCUCAACGCCAAAUGGGGCCUUAAUGGUACAAGAACACAAUAGUAACUUGGAUUACUAAUCUGAGCACUUCCUCUCCAUUUUGGCUAUUUCAAAAGUUUACUCAUCAGCUAAUGAAUUUCUGGCUAAAUCUAAGAGAUGUAACUCCCUACAUUUUUAUGGUAUUGUCAAAAAGUGAAAUUGUUCUGUUUGAAUCCCUUAAAAAAUAAUACAAUGGAA